GCCGGCGUAGCUUAGUGGUAGAGCAGCUGACUUGUAAUCAGCAGGUCGAGGGUUCAAAUCCCUUCGCCGGCU
rnacentral:tRNA from 1 species